UACGGGGGGGGCAAGCGUUGUUCGGAAUUACUGGGCGUAAAGGGCGCGUAGGCGGCCUGCUAAGUCGAACGUGAAAUCCCUGGGCUCAACCCAGGAACUGCGUCCGAUACUGGUUGGCUUGAAUCCGGGAGAGGGAUGUGGAAUUCCAGGUGUAGCGGUGAAAUGCGUAGAUAUCUGGAGGAACACCGGUGGCGAAGGCGACAUCCUGGACCGGCAUUGACGCUGAGGCGCGAAAGCGUGGGGAGCAAACAGG
rnacentral:rRNA from 1 species